AGCUUUGCACAGUGUCAGCUUCGUAGCCAAUGAGGUUUAUCUGAGGCAUGAUUAUUGCUAAUUGAAAACUUUUCCCAAUACCCUGCUGUGACGACUUGCAAUACAGUAAGCAUUAGCAAUUCUUGACAGUCUCUACGGAGA